rnacentral:lncRNA from 1 species
UUAAGGUUGUUUUUGCUUAUCUCCCAGAUCCAUAUGGUGUUUUACAAUGGUGGCAGAAAAGUACUCGUUGCAAAGUUAUACUGUUAUGGCGCAACUUAGUAGUCUAAUGUUGUUCCGGUUUUGGUUCUUGUGAACAUUUACAUCGAUUCGUUCCAAAUUUACACUCUCGGGGCAUAAUAGAACAAUAUAAUUAUGUUUUGCUCUUUGUUCGAUUGAAUGAGAAAAAAUACUAGUUGCAAAGUUAUACUGUUAGGGCUCAACUGAGUAGUCUAACUUUGUUCCGGUUUUGGUUCUUGUGAACGUUAACAUCGAUUAGUUCCAAAUUUACACUCUCGGGGCAUAAUAGAAAGCUUUUACUCCUUGUUCGAUAGAAUGAGAAAAAGUAUUCGUUGCAAAGUUAUACUGUUAUGGCGCAACUGAGUAGUCUAAAGUUGUUCCGGUUUUGGUUCUUGUGAACCCGCCUGUCCCCUCCAGGACAGGCAAGCCGCAGACAAGAUAAUAAGCGGGCCCGCACAUUUAAACCUGGCUUAGUUACAAUCGCANNNNNNNNNNNNNNNNNNNNNNNNNCCUCAACGAGAAGAUAAAGCUAGUCCCGAUAGUAUGUCCCUAUGAGAAAAUCUUGGAGCGCAUUGGGGACGGUGGUUAUGCGGACUGUCGCGGUUGCCGGCCUAAAGCUCCGCGAUGGUGUCACAAUGGUAUCUACGUCGCCAAAUCUCGCGGAAGAUACAUACCGUGAUGCCGAGCACCGAUUGGUGUGUUAUGUGAACCGCGGGAUCGUCAGGAGCGUGACUGUGAGCUAGCCGUGAGAUGUGUUCCGGGUGGCGACGAUUGAGUAUGCGUCGAUGAAGGCGUAAGUUUGAGGGAGAGUCGAGAAAAUUUCAUAUGGUCGGGAGAGGGUCCGGUGGAGCGAGAGUCAUUCCGACGAUCGCGGACGGAAGCCACCAUGGGAUGCUCGAGAUCGAAAUAGAGGGCGAAUCACCCUUCACUUUAUUUGAGGAAGGUAAGCCAAGGGUUAUUAAGAUUCGACUUAUGGCUAUACUUGAUUAAAUUGAGUCGUUUCGAGGACUAGAAGCUCCUUUUAAGGGAGGGGGAAGGUAGUCGAGACUUGGUCCAGAAAAAAAUUAUGGAAAUGUACGGUAGGGAUAGUAAAUGGUGCGGAGUUUAUAAAAAAUAAAUAUAAUAAAAAUAUGUGAGAUACUAUUUUAUUGGACUAGCGAGUGGAAAGUAAUAAGUUGGAAAUGACUUGUGCGGAAAUCGGCGAAAACGCAAGAUUUAGAAUUUUCUUGAGGAAUGGGCAGAUAAAAUUAGCAGAAAAUGCACAGUGUCAGAAAAUUAUGAAACUGGAGGAUAUGUCAGAAUUAUUUUUAUGAGGCUAGAUUUAAAGUUUCAGCCCAUUCUGACACCGGAGCGUGCGAGAUCCGGAAGUGGAAAUAAAUCGACUGCUAUCCCUAAAGAUUACAGUUCGGCACAGUUUUCGGUGACCAAACGGGGUCGAAACUGAAAACUAAGUAUAUAUUCUUGGUCAGUACGUUAAACCGAGCCUGCCUGUCGAAUUUGAGCGCAAACAGGACAUUCAGAAGGGCCCCGACUGUUCGAACUGCGAAAAUGCAAGUUGUAAUAGGUGUGAGAGGGGGUUUUGUGCAAUUGUUACAGCAGCCUAUGUGGGCUGGUUGCAUGCGUACCACACACCCACAUACACACCUUCUCCCUCAAGUUCUCAUUCUCUCCCACUACACUCUUUUCCCUCUUUCUCUCUAGAAAGAAAGAAAGAAAGAAAGAAAAGAAGAAGGAAAGAGAAGGAAAAGAAAGGAAAAGAAAGAAAGAAGAAAGGAGAAAAGACAAGAGAGGAAGAUCAUUCUUCUUCCUCCCUCCUCAACCUUGGAGAAGCUUUUUAGAGGUAAGCUGCCAAACCCUAUAAUGGUAGAUUCCUUAAGAUAGGGUUAUGGUUUAGAAUUGGUUUGAAUGGAACGCUAUUGGAGCUAGUUAGAUGGUCUAGCUCGAAUUUGAAGCUUGAGCCAUGGAUUUCACAUUGUUGAAACCUAGGGCACUUCAAAACCCUAUAAUGUUAGAAUUUUUAGGUCUCAUUUAUAUGCUAUAAAAAUGGAUUUAUGGAAUCCAAUGAUGCUUAAAUAGAUGAUUGUUGCCUAAAUCAUGGAUCAAUUUUGUGAAUUUUGCAAAAGUUGAAACCUAGGGUUCAAAUAGCAAUUUUUGGAAAUAUGGGGUUUGAUUCUCAAUUAAACUCCUUGUAAACCUAAUUGCUAGGUCUAUAAAAACGUUGCGAAGACGGUCGUCAGUCCGACAGAGCGCCGUGCGGAGUUAUCGCCAAACAAGUACUUGAGGUUUGGUUGCCCGGAGUUGAAGCGACGUACGAGGAUCGCGGCGUUGGGUUUUCUAAUUUCGUGGCACUACAAGGAGGUGGGUGGUGACCAUCCCGAAGCAACUGGACUCCCCUUUAUGUCUAGUACAUUAAAUCUUGCAUCUUGUAUUCCCUUGCAUUAUAGGAUGAUUGUGCAUUGCCUUUCCUUAUGCUUACCUAUGAUGAAUCAUACUAUGCUUUAGUUGCUUGAUAUAGUGGAUGAUAGAUUGGUCGGAGAAUGUGAAUCCUAUAGUGCCGAGGUGAAAGAUGGACUCAAUGGUUGUUUGUAAUAGUAACAAAAGAAUGAGUGGCAUCUAGUUGAUAGUAAACAAAAGAACAGUGCAAUCACUAUGUGAGUCCUAGUGUAUAUGAAACCUAUGGACCUUGUGAUGAAAGUAACCCUAGAGGAUACGGGAAUCCUCGAGUGGAGAGGAUUGGAUCUUGCUCACCGGUCUGUUUAUACCUUGUGAUGGUCGUCCACACAAGUAGUCGCGCUCCGGAGUUGGUCACGUGGGAUAGCUAUUUGGGUCCCGAGGGAUAGCCUAUGUGGGGUCCCGCAGACGGUCUCGGAUUCGUAGUUUGCAGUGAUCUCCCUACGCAUCGAGAUGGCUAUGUGAGUAGUAGGUGAAACCCUCGGGUGAGCCAUAGAUUAAUUAACAAGUAAAUAACUUUACUUCUUGACAUGAUGACGAGUUAGUGUGCUUACCCAUUUCAUUGAACAUGCUUCAUUAUUUAUGAUUCGGGCAUAGUAGCGUAGUUUUCUAUUCUGUCCUAACGCUUUCCAUAUCUAUCUAUCUGUUUAUCUACUUGUGCCCACUUGGACCUAGUGGGAGACCGGCGGAGUCGGCGGCCGAACCCACUGGAAUCUAAGGAAGUUAGUUCUCACACCCCCAUUUUACUACAGGCGCGAGCGCGAGUUCACACGGCGAGGAUCGUGCGGUAAGGCUUAGCGCCCUAGAUGCAUUAGUUUACUUUCCUUUUGCAUUAGAGCCACCAUUUUGUACUUGAGAGUAGAUGAUUUAGGGUGUGAGGAAUCAUUUUGGAAAUGUAAACUCAUGUCUGUAUUUGGGCAGUUUAAAUGUAAAUCGAUGUAUUAAAGAGUUGAAUGAAUGUAAUAGAUAGACCUUCUCUCUUUAUCGUUACUUGUUCUUUAUACUUGUUCCUUGCUCUUACUUGUUACACUUGUUGUGCUCUUGUGAUUGUGUACUUAUGAUUUGAUUCUGGGUAAAAUCCUUGUACAUGAUCGUUGCUUAGCCUUGGCGACAGGGGAACCCUCCCUGUUUCCCCCCGUGUCGGCGUCUGUUCGACCGCUCGACACGCACCCAAAUUGUAGCGUCUCGGGGCGUGACACAGGGCAUAAUAGAAAGCUUUUACUCCUUGUUCGAUAGAAUGAGAAAAGUACUCGUUGCAGAUUAUACUGUAUGGCGCAACUUGUUCCGGUUUUUGUUCUUGUGAACGUUGACAUCGAUUCGUUCCAAAUUUACACUCUCUGGGCAUGAUAGAACAAUAUAAUAAGGUUUUACGCUUUAUUCGAUAGAAUGGGAAAAAGUACUCGCUGCAAAGUUAUACUGUUAUGGGCAACUGAGUAGUCUAAUGUUGUUCCGGUUUUUGUUCUUGUGAACGUUGACAACGAUUCGUUCCAAAUUUACACUCUCGGGGCAUAAUAGAACAAUAUAAUUAGGUUUUACUCUUUUUUCGAUUGAAUGAGAAAAAGUACUAGUUGCAAUGUUAUACUGUUAGGGCUCAACUGAGUAGUCUAACUUUGUUCCGAUUUUGGUUCUUGUGAACGUUUACAUCGAUUCGUUCCAAAUUUACACUCUCGGGGCAUGAUAGAAAGCAUUUAAUCCUUGUUCGAUAGAAUGAGAAAAAGUACUCGUUGCAAAGUUAUACUGUUAUGGGACAACUGAGUAGUCUAAUGUUGUUCCGGUUUUGGUUCUUGUGAACGUUGACAUUGAUUCGUUCCAAAUUUACACUCUCGGGGAAUAAUAGAACAAUAUAAUUAGAUUUUGCUCUUUGUUCGAUUGAAUGAGAAAAAGUACUAGUUGCAAAGUUAUACUGUUAGGGCUCAACUGAGUAGUCUAACUUUGUUCCGGUUUUGAUUCUUGUGAAUAUUUACAUCGAUUCGAUCGAAAUUUACACUCUCGGGGCAUAAUAGAAAGCUUUUACUCCUUGUUCGAUAGAACUAGAAAAAGUACUAGUUGCUAAGUUAUGCUGUUAUGGCGGAACUGAGUAGUCUAAUGUUGUUCCGGUUUUGGUUCUUUUGAACGUAGACAUCGAUUCGUUCCAAAUUUACACUCUCGGGGUAUAGUAGAACAACAUAAUUAGGUUUUGCUUAUUGUUCGAUUGAAUGAGAAAAAGUACUAGUUGCAAUGUUAUACUGUAAGGGCUCAAUUGAGUAGUCUAACUUUGUUCCGAUUUUGGUUCUAGUGAACGUUGACAUCGAUUCGUUCCAAAUUUAUACUUUCGGGGCAAAAUAGAACAUUAUAAUUAGGUUUUGCUCUUUGUUCGAUUGAAUGAGAAAAAGUACUAGUUGCAAUGUUAUACUGUUGGGGCUCAACUUAGUAGUCUAACUUUGUUCCGGUUUUGGUUAAUGUGAACGUUGACAUCGAUUCGUUCCAAAUUUACACUCUCGGGGCAUAAUAGAAAGCUUUUACUCCUUGUUCGAUAGAAUGAGAAAAAGUACUCGUUGCAAAGUUAUACUGUUAUGGCGCAACUGAGUAGUCUAACUUUGUUCCGGUUUUGGUUCUUGUGAACGUUUAUAUCGAUUCGUUCCAAAUAUACACUCUCGGGGCAUAAUAGAAAGCUUUUACUCCUUGUUCGAUAGAAUGAGAAAAAGUACUCGUUGCAAAGUUAUACUGUUAUGGGGCAACUGAGUAGUCUAAAGUUGUUCCGGUUUUGGUUCUUGUGAACGUUGACAUCGAUUCGUACCAAAUUUACACUCUCGGGGUAUAAUAGAACAAUAUAAUUAGGUUUUGCUCUUUGUUCGAUUGAAUGAGAAAAAGUACUAGUUGCAAAGUUAUACUGUUAGGGCUCAACUGGGUAGUCUAACUUUGUUCCGAUUUUGGUUCUUGUGAACGUUUAUAUCGAUUCGUUUCAAAUUUACACACUCGGGGCAUAAUAGAAAGCUUUUACUCCUUGUUCGAUAGAAUGAGAAAAAGUACUCGUUGCAAAGUUAUACUGUUAUGGCGCAACUGAGUAGUCUAAUGUUGUUCCGAUUUUGGUUCUUGUGAACGUUGACAUUGAUUCGUUCCAAAUUUACACACUCGGGGUAUAAUAGAACAAUAAAAUUAGGUUUUGCUCUUUGUUCGAUUGAAUGAGAAAAAGUUUGCAAUGUUAUACUAUCACGGCUCAACUUAGUAGUUUAACUUUGUUCCGGUUUUGGUUCUUGUAAAUGUUGACAUCUAUUCGUUCCAAAUUUACACUCUCGGGGCAUAUUAGAACAUUAUAAUUAGGUUUUGCUCUUUGUUCGGUUGAAAGAGAAAAAGUACUAGUUGCAAAGUUAUACUGUUAGGGCUCAACUGAGUAGUCUAACUUUGUUCCGGUUUUGGUUCUUGUGAACGUUUAAAUCGAUUAGUUCCAAAUUUACACUCUCGGGGCAUAAUAGAACAAUAUAAUUAGGUUUUGCUCUUUGUUCGAUUGAAUGAGAAAAAGUACUAGUUGCAAUGUUAUACUGUUAGGGCUCAUCUUAGUAGUUUAAUUUUGUUCCGGUUUUGGUUCUUGUAAACGUUGACACAUAUUCGUUCCAAAUUUAUACUCUCGGGGCAUAUUAGAACAUUAUAAUUAGGUUUUACUCUUCGUUCGAUUGAAAGAGAAAAAGUUCUGGUUGCAAAGUUAUACUGUUAGGGCUCAACUGAGUAGUCUAACUUUGUUCCGGUUUUGGUUCUUGUGAACGUUUCAAUCGAUUAGUUCCAGAUUUACACUCUCGGGGGAUAAUAGAAAGUUUUUACUCCUUGUUCGAUAGAAUGAAAAAAAGUAUUCGUUGCAAAGUUAUACUGUUAUGGUGCAACUGAGCAGUCUAAUGUUGUUCCGAUUUUGGUUCUUGUGAACGUUGAAAUCGUUUCGUAUUAAAUUUACACUCUCGGGGCAUAAUAGAACAAUAUAAUUAGGUUUUGCUCUUUGUUCGAUUGAAUGAGAAAAAGUACUAGUUGCAAAGUUAUAUUGUUAGGGCUCAACUGAGUAGUCUAAAUUUGUUCCGGUUUUGGUUCCUGUGAAUGUUUACAUCGAUUCGUUCCAAAUUUACACUCUCGGGGCAUAAUAGAAAGCUUUUACCCCUUAUUUGAUAGAAUGAGAAAAAGUACUCGUUGCUAAGUUAUACUGUUAUGGCGCUACUGAGUAGUCUAAUAUUGUUCCGGUUUUGGUUCUUUUGAACGUUGACAUCGAUUCGUUCCAAAUUUACACUCUCAGGGCAUAAUAGAACAACAUAAUUAGGUUUUACUCUUUGUUCGAUUGAAUAAAAAAAAGUACUAGUUGCAAUGUUAUACUGUUAGGGCUCAACUGAGUAGUCUUACUUUGUUCCGGUUUUGGUUCUUGUGAACGUUUACAUCGAUUCGUUCCAAAUAUACACUCUCGGGGCAAAAUAGAAAGCUUGCGCUCCUUGUACGAUAGAAUGAGAAAAAGUACUCGUUGCAAAUUAUACUGUUAUGGCGCAACUGAGUAGUCUAAUGUUGUUCCGAUUUUGGUUCUUGUGAACGUUGACAUUGAUUCGUUCCAAAUUUACACACUCGGGGUAUAAUAGAACAAUAAAAUUAGGUUUUGCUCU